UUUCAGCCCCUAUACAGCAGAUCAUUGGAAAUCUCCUGGACUUCACUCGAGGGAGAUCGAUGCUCAGGGAUUGAAUGGGACAGUUAUUCAGCCAGCUGCAAAACACCUGGCAGACAUGGAAACAAUCAUCCUGGGAGCUGUACACCAGACAAAGACACUAGUACAGUCUGUAGUAUUAAUGGAUUAUUGCCAUAUACAGACUAUACAUGCAGAAUUACUGGAACAGUCAACCAAAAACAUUGUCAUUUACACUGGUUACUUGAAAACACUUUCUGACAAGCCCAUUUUCAGAUCACAAGUUGAAGUAACUCACCCUUCUCACAAUUCUCUUGAAAUAAAAUGUGAAAACAAGGGACCAAAGAUAGUCUGGAAUGGAGGAGAGGGAACAUUUGAAGCUGAAAUCACAUACAAUGGAGAGCCUCUAAUCAUCAAACCCAAAACUAAAUGUUCAUUUCAUUUUCAAGAUCUUUACCACCUUACA